AGAACGAACGCUGGCGGCGUGGAUAAGACAUGCAAGUCGAACGGAGUAAUUCGAAUAGCAAUAUUUGGAUUACUUAGUGGCGGACGGGUGAGUAACACGUGGGCAACCUGCCCGGAAGAGGGGGAUAGCUCGCCGAAAGGCGAAUUAAUACCGCAUGUGGCCUGGAAAGACAUCUUUCUUCAGCCAAAGUCGGGGCAACCUGACACUUCCGGAUGGGCCCGCGGCCUAUCAGCUUGUUGGUGAGGUAACGGCUCACCAAGGCUAUGACGGGUAGCUGGUCUGAGAGGACGACCAGUCACACUGGAACUGAGACACGGUCCAGACACCUACGGGUGGCAGCAGUCAGAAUCAUUCGCAAUGGGCAAAGCCUGACGGUGCGAGCCGCGUGGAGAUGAAGGCCUUCGGGCGUAAACUCCUAGUCAUGUAAGAGCAAGGAGACGAGGAGUAACUGCCGCGUCUUGAUAGUAUUACGAAGUAGGAAGGACGGACUAACUCUGUGACCG
rnacentral:rRNA from 1 species